rnacentral:rRNA from 1 species
GACGAACGCUGGCGGCGUGCUUAACACAUGCAAGUCGAACGGAAAGGCCCUGCUUUUGUUGGGUUCUCGAUUGGCGAACGCGUGAGUAACACGUGUGUAACCUCCCCUUGACUUUGUGAUAACUUCAGGAAACUGGGGCUAAUAUCGGAUAUGAUCUCCUGCUGCAUGGUGGUGGUUGGAAAGUUUCGGCGGUUGUGGAUGUUCUCGCGGCUUAUCAGCUUGUUUGUGGGGUAGUGGCUUACCAAGGCUUUGACGGGUAGCCGGCCUGAGAGGGUAACCGGCGACAAUGGGACUGCGAGACGGACCAGAAUGCUACGGGCGGCAGCAGUGGGGAAUAUUGCACAAUGGGCGGAAGCCUGAUACAGAAACGCCGCGAGCGGGAUGCCGGCUUACGGGUGAUAAACAGAUUUCGAAUGUGACGAAGAGUGAGUGACGGUAAUGAGUAAAAAAGCACCGGCUAACUACGUG